UUACGGCUAUAUCAUGUUGAAAUUACUGGUUUCUGUACGAUCACCGAUGUUAAGCAACGUCGAACCUGGUCAGUACCUAGAUGGGUGAUCACUUGGGAAUAUCAGGUGCUGUAGG